CUGUGGAAAACAAAUUGAUGGUUAUGAGAGGGGGGAUGGGUAAAAUGGGCGAUGAGGAUUAAGGAGGGCACUUACAAUGAGCACCCGGUGAUGUAUGGAAUUCCUGAAUCGCUAUAUUGUACACCUGAAACUAGCAUUAUCACACUGUAUGUUAACUAACUGGAAAAAAAGAGAGAGAGAGAGAGAG